rnacentral:rRNA from 1 species
UACGUAGGGACCAAGCGUUGUUCGGAUUUACUGGGCGUAAAGGGCGCGUAGGCGGCGCGGUAAGUCACUUGUGAAAUCUCUGAGCUUAACUCAGAACGGCCAAGUGAUACUGCAGUGCUAGAGUGUGGAAGGGGCAAUCGGAAUUCUUGGUGUAGCGGUGAAGUGCGUAGAUAUCAAGAGGAACACCUGAGGUGAAGACGGGUUGCUGGGCCAACACUGACGCUGAGGCGCGAAAGCCAGGGGAGCGAACGGG